rnacentral:rRNA from 1 species
UAAAGGGCUGCAGUAUAUUGACUGUACAAAGGUAGCAUAAUCAUUAGUCUUUUAAUUGAAGACUUGUAUGAAAGAUUUGAUGAAAUAUAAACUGUCUCUAAUUUAUAAAUAGAAAUUAAUUUUUUAAUUAAAAAGUUAAAAUAUUAUUAAAAGACGAGAAGACCCUAUAGAGUUUUAUAAUUUAUUUAUUUAAUUAUAAAAUAUAUAUUUAAAUUUAAUAAAUAGAUGAAUUAUUAUAUUGGGGUGAUAAAAAAAUUUAAUAAACUUUUUUUAAUUAAAUAACAUAAAUAAAUGAAAAAAUGAUCCAUUAUUAAUGAUUAAAAGAAAAAAUUACCUUAGGGAUAACAGCGUAAUAUUUUUUUUUAGUACAAAUAAAAAAAAAAGUUUGCGACCUCGAUGUUGGAUUAAGAUAAAAUUUAAAUGCAAAAGUUUAAAAGUUUUGAUCUGUUCGAUCAUUAAAAUCUUACAUGAUCUGAGCUA